rnacentral:tRNA from 1 species
GAGGCUUUAGCUUAAUUAAAGUGUCUGAGUUGCAUUCAGGGAUGUAUAUUAAAGUUAUACAGGCCUUC